UGCAAGUCGAACGCGAAGCGCCUUCGGGUGUGAGUAGAGUGGCGGACGGGUGAGUAACGCGUGGGAAUCUGCCCUGCAGUGGGGGACAACCCGAGGAAACUCGGGCUAAUACCGCAUACGUCCUAUGGGAGAAAGGGGGCCUUCGGGCUCUCGCUGCAGGAUGAGCCCGCGUCCGAUUAGCUUGUUGGUAGGGUAACGGCCUACCAAGGCGACGAUCGGUAGCUGGUCUGAGAGGAUGAUCAGCCACACUGGGACUGAGACACGGCCCAGACUCCUACGGGAGGCAGCAGUGGGGAAUAUUGGACAAUGGGCGAAAGCCUGAUCCAGCAAUGCCGCGUGUGUGAAGAAGGCCUGCGGGUUGUAAAGCACUUUCAGUGGGGAAGAAAAGCGCAAGGUUAAUACCCUUGUGUGUUGACGUUACCCACAGAAGAAGCACCGGCUAACUCCGUGCCAGCAGCCGCGGUAAUACG
rnacentral:rRNA from 1 species